rnacentral:lncRNA from 1 species
GGCGUGUGGGGGAGCCCUGAGAGCGAAGGCGCGUGUUCGCGCGCGUCCGUGAGGCCGCGUGUGUGAGGCGAUGUACACUGAGAGGCCGUAGUGUUGCGGCGGGGACACAGCUGGUCCUGAGAAGGCAUCAUACUCAGACAAGCCUGCAAGAUUGCAUUCAUUCCUGUUGUUUCCGUUAGUGAUGCUCGUCCAUGGAAUGAUAAUCUAAUUUUCCUCCGUGGGUUGAUGUUCUGUCAUCAGAGGAGUGUCAGGAAGACCUAUUACAGAGCAGACAUCUAAGAUGAGGUCUUCCAUGCUAAACUAGCAGCAGCAACUGAGAAACACUUGCCACGGAACCAGAACUCCAGAGGCUGAAUCUAGUUUUGCUUUAUUCACUAACCAGGUGUUUGACCUUGAGCAAGUCCC